UGCGGGGGCUGUGUCCGUUCUGCUUCCAGGGCUCCCUCCGUCCGAGCUCGCAGCGCUCCCCGAGGGCAGGCGGCAGAGCUGCGGCCAGAACCCGGCCUCGAGCGGCCGGAGGGGAGCGCUGUCACUGGGCGCUCAGGUGCAAUUGGGGCCUGCCUGCACAUCCCGCGCUGUGCGCUGCUGCGGUAACGUUAUAGAAGGUAAUGGUGAGGGGCCAUAAUGAGAGGAGGUGUCCUCGGGGUUUGUAAGUGUGAUGAUACAGGCUUCAGUUACUGUCUGUGGGCUGUUUCUCCUAUAGGAAUUUGCUCACUUAGUGCGAAGGAUGGAGAGUGCCUGAUGAGGAGGGAGCCAGUCAAUAUUGCUUUAAUCAUCGUCUGCUGUGUUGCCCUGGGCUUUAUUCACCACAUGCCACUUAGACACCACGUUGAAUGGAGUUGUUAACUUCCACAUAGGUGUCGCUAUGCUGUUCAUCAGUAUCCUACUGGAAUGCUUCAACAAACAGCAAUUAACUUCUUGGUACUCAAUUGGGCUGUGAUGGUGUGAUUAUCCCUGUUUUGGAGGAAAGGAACUGGAGCAGGAAUAUUGCAUUUAAAAUGCUCUGCUUGCGGUUGCUCUCUGUGUUGGAAAAGGCAAGAUCAAAGACGUGUGUUUUGAAGUACAAGUCCUCCUUUGUUUUUCAUCCACAAGCUGAUCUGAACCUUCUGUGCUGGCUUGAUAAUGUGGGCAGGUUGUGGCAAAAGACAAGUAGGGCUCUGUGUGUCACUUGCAUCCUGCUUGUCUUUUGAGUCUGUGGCAUCUGACCAUUUACCACUAGUCCAAAGACUGACAUUGUAAGUAAAGGUCUCUUGUAGAGACGCAGGUGAUUCCUUCCCUGACUGGUUACCAGCAGUUCAGUCAUAAAUGGCACUACAGUUCUAGUGCAGCAUCUCCAAGAAGUGAAGAAAGAUGCUCCUUGCAGAGAGUAGCACAGUCUAGGAUAUGCUUCCUGAAUUACUCUGCUGCUGCCAAUGCUGGAAAAGCAGCUUGAGCAGCUUUGCCUUAAAGAAAUGCCAAGGUCCAUUCCUAUUCAGCUCAUCAGUCUGACUAGUUACAUUCAUCUUUUAAUUUGUCAGAAUUUCUUCCUUUUAUAAGUGAGCAGCUUGGAUACAGGCCUGUUUUAUUUAUUCUUCCAAUUAAUUUAAACGGAAACAUUCAAAUGGAAGUUUGUGUGUUGGGUUGGUUUUAUGGUCAGAGUUACAAUAAAAUCUUCCUUAGCAAACCAAAAAUUUAAAGUGCACAUCUUUCUGCUGGUUCUGGGAUUAUUCUGUGGGAGGUUGUUGGUUAUCACCUGUGAGGCUGCUGAGGCCCAGCUAUUGUAGCUAUCUUCUUGUUUUCUAGUCUGUGUCUGGGAAGUUAAGGGUUUUCAUAAAGCAUUAUUCAUCUUUUAAUACCUGCUGAUAC